rnacentral:rRNA from 1 species
AUGUUCCACCGCCGUUUCCAUGCGCACCACCGGAAGCCGCCCGUCCUCGGCGUUUUCGAGCGGCGCCGGAAAUUCAUCAUCACCCCCGUAUUGGCCGCUCCCGACCGUAUCCCAGCUGAGCGAUUGUCCAUCUCACGCUGGAUGACCUCCCGCGACUGCGACGCGACCGGCUGCCGCCACGGUCGGGUGCUGGCCAUACACAGGCUGCUGCCGCGUCUUGUCGUGUUCGCCCCCCUCACCGGCGAGGAGCGCAACCUGCCUGUUGUUCCGGACGAGUUCAGGGAGUGCAACUACCACCACGGGGCUGUGCUCUGUGCUGCCAGCGGCAAGGAGGACCACGUGCACGGCUUUUGCCAUGAGAGCCCAUUCCAGGUGGCAUUCCUUUCCAGGUACCCUACACGCAAUCGAUUUAUCACAUCUGUUUACUCAUCAGAAAGUGGCACAUGGGGCGGCCUUAAGGAAAUAGAAGCUCCAUUUAAAGUUGCUCUUGUUGAUGUUCCUGCGACCCUGGUUGGAAAUGUGCUCUACUGGAUGCUUUCAUGGGAUAAUGUUUGUGCUGCCAUGCUUGAGUUUGAUUUGGAUACGCAGAGCCUAGCUGUGAUCAAGGGACCUUCUGAUAUGAAUUAUUCCGGCAGCCAUAGGAUCAUCAAAAUAGAGCAAGGCACAGUUAGCUGGCUCAGGUUUAAAUUCCCGAUCCUAGAAAUAUGGCUGAGGCAAAAGAAUUGGCAUGGUCUUGCCACGUGGUUGCAGCAUAAGACAGUUGAUAUGCAUGACAUUCUUGGGAUCCCUCCUCGGGUUAGUAAGAAGUGGCAUCAGAAAAUCCUCGGCUAUGAGGAAGAUAGCAAUGUGAUCAUUCUCUAUGUUGAUGACAGUGCCUACAUGCUAGAUCUUAACUCAAUGAAAUCUACGAAACUUGAUGAAAGCCGUUUGAUGAAUUCCUGUCACCCUUUCACCAGUUUCUAUCCGCCAGACAUGGCCAUCUAA